rnacentral:rRNA from 1 species
UGUAGUCAUAUGCUUGUCUCAAAGAUUAAGCCAUGCAUGUCUAAGUAUAAGCAAUUAUACAGCGAAACUGCGAAUGGCUCAUUAUAUAAGUUAUCGUUUAUUUGAUAGUACCUUACUACUUGGAUAACCGUGGUAAUUCUAGAGCUAAUACAUGCUAAAAAUCCCGACUUCGGAAGGGAUGUAUUUAUUAGAUUAAAAACCAAUGCCCUUCGGGGCUCACUGGUGAUUCAUGAUAACUCCUCGAAUCGCAUGGCCUUGUGCCGGCGAUGGUUCAUUCAAAUUUCUUCCCUAUCAACUUUCGAUGUUUGGGUAUUGGCCAAACAUGGUUGCAACGGGUAACGGAGGGUUAGGGCUCGACCCCGGAGAAGGAGCCUGAGAAACGGCUACUACAUCCAAGGAAGGCAGCAGGCGCGCAAAUUACCCAAUCCCGACACGGGGAGGUAGUGACAAUAAAUACUGAUACAGGGCUCUUUUGGGUCUUGUAAUUGGAAUGAGUACAAUUUAAAUCCCUUAACGAGGAACAAUUGGAGGGCAAGUCUGGUAAUCG